UGGCGACCGGCGCACGGGUGAGUAACGCGUAUCCAACCUGCCCUUUACUAUGGGGACAGCCCGUCGAAAGGCGGAUUAAUACCGUAUGUUGUCAUGUUGAUGCANAUUUUCAUGACCAAAGGGCUUCGGCCGGUAAAGGAUGGGGAUGCGUCUGAUUAGCUUGCCGGCGGGGUAACGGCCCACCGGGGCGACGAUCAGUAGGGGUUCUGAGAGGAAGGUCCCCCACAUUGGAACUGAGACACGGUCCAAACUCCUACGGAAGGCAGCAG
rnacentral:rRNA from 1 species